GUUUCUCUUUUAAUUCCAAUCCAAUAACUGGAGCUUUCUGCGAUAUCUGAAACUAGGUCUGCAUGCUUGGAAAGUGCAAUUUGAGUAGCAUUGUCUCGUAUAACAGCUAGAAAUCCUUUCUUCUGAGCACAGCUAAUAUUAGCUUGACUAUAACUUAAGGCAGUGUUUGAAAAGAAAUAGCAUUUCCGUCGUAAUUCAAAAUUAAUUUCUGUUCAGUUCGUUAAUCCCGCAGGGCAACCGUCUGAAAAAAUAAGAAUAUUGUUUUAAAUAAGCGCUAAUCAAAUUAGCA
rnacentral:lncRNA from 1 species